UGAUGGGGGAGGGACUUUAACCGUCAUUUCCGGGGUAUGGGCCCGAAAGCUUAAUUAGCUGACCCCAUC
rnacentral:tRNA from 1 species